rnacentral:siRNA from 1 species
ACACAAUCAUCGAUAGUCUCUGC